UUAGGUGUUGCCGGGGUAUCAGCCCCCCCAAAAACCCCAUAUCGUCUGGGCAUUGAGAGCUAUAGCCCGGAGAUGGGGGACUGAGACAAGUGCACCAGACCCUUCGGGGGGCCACAGGCGCGAAACCUUCUCAAAUCCACGAAAGUUGAUGUAGAGUACUCCGAGUGCGCAUCCAUUGUAUGUGCUUUUAUGCAGCGUAAAUAGUUGCAGGAAUAAGGCAUGGGCAAAGACCGGUUGCCCAGCCGCCGCCGGUUACCACGGCCAGUCCGUAGUAGGUGCCCGCUUUUAUUGGUCUUAAAGCGUCCGUAGCCGGCCAGUCAAGUCUUUGGGUAAUUCCUACGUCUUAAGCGUAGGAAUUCUAAAGAUACUACCUGUCUUGAGGCCGGGAGAGGCUGGAGGUACUCCUGGGGUAGGAGUAAAAUCUAUAAUCCUGGAGGGACCACCGAUGGCGAAGGCAUCCAGCUGGAACGGCCUUGACGGUGAGGGACGAAACCCAGGGGAGCGAGCCGGAUUAGAUACCCGGGUAGUCCUGGGCGUAAAUGAUGUGGGCUUGGUGUGAGCGCAUCGACGAGGUGCGCUUGUGCCGUAGGGAAGCCGUUAAGCCCACCGCCUGGGGAGUACGGUCGCAAGGCUGAAACUUAAAGGAAUUGGCGGGGGAGCACUACAAGGGGUGGAGCCUGCGGUUUAAUUGGAGUCAACGCCGG
rnacentral:rRNA from 1 species